rnacentral:rRNA from 1 species
CUACGGGGGGCUGCAGUGGGGAAUAUUGGACAAUGGGGGAAACCCUGAUCCAGCAAUGCCGCGUGUGUGAAGAAGGCCUGCGGGUUGUAAAGCACUUUCGGUUGGGAGGACUGCUUCUAGCACUAAUAUUGUUGGAAGUUGACGUUACCUUCAGAAGAAGCACCGGCUAACUCCGUGCCAGCAGGCCGCGGUAAUACGGGAGGUGCAAGCGUUAAUCGGAAUUACUGGGCGUAAAGCGCGCGUAGGCGGCUAGAUCAGUCGGGUGUGAAAGCCCCGGGCUUAACCUGGGAACUGCAUCCGAUACUGUCUAGCUUGAGUACAGGAGAGGAGAGUGGAAUUCCACAUGUAGCGGUGAAAUGCGUAGAUAUGUGGAGGAACACCAAUGGCGAAGGCAGCUCUCUGGCCUGAUACUGACGCUGAGGUGCGAAAGCGUGGGGAGCAAACAGGAUUAGAUACCCCCGUAGUC